GGACGUUGCGCCGCCGACCUCAAUCUGCCGUUUCACGCGCGGUAGACGCGAUACACGCUGAGCCACUCGAAGCGUGGCAACAGUGACGGUACUCAGCACGGUCCCAAUCCUGGUCCCUCCCCCGCCUCUCCUCCCAUAGCGCUCCAGUGGAAAGAGAGUGAGAUGAGUGCGCCCCACACGGCGUUCCCGCUCCUGACGCGCGGCCGAGGCGGGGGUAGCGGCGCGAGUGCCGCAGCUCUAGCCACCCGCAUGAUUUCUGUGUCACGCGCACUGCUGUCGCCGCUGCGGUCACAGCUGCAGGACAUCCUUUGCCAGCCCCUUCCCAUCACGGAGGAGGGACUGCUCUGUGCGUUGCAGGUCGGCGCAGACCUGACGGUACCACUGACCAUCAUUGGCUCCUGCGACGACGGUGAUGGCGAAGCGGAUCUGAAGAGCAAGCUUGUCGUCCACACCACUGGACUUCCUGGCGGGUUUGUCGUGUCGGAGGAGGAACUGGUGCGCGGCCGCGCUCGCUUGCGUCCGCCACUUCCACCUGCAGCGGGAGACACCCCGUCAUCCCUUGGCUCCGUUUGCUUGAUAGAGGCAGUCACCAGGGACCUGCUUACUGCUUCAAACAACUCGCCCACGCCCUCCGCAUCGCCGCGUGGUGUCCUGGACGCCUUCUACAGACUCGCCCGCCGUCGGCACUUCUCCUUGGCGGGCAUGGCUCGCGUGCUGGAGUGUGGCUCGCGGCUGCACCCUGGCGCUUUGCAGCUUGACUUCCCUUACCACUGCGGUAGCGCGCACGCCACGAAGCGGUACCUCGACAUCACCACCGAGGUAGCCGACGUCUUCGGGGCAAACAUGCGGCACGGGACGAAGGUGCUGAGCCGCUAUGGCGUCGCCGUUAGCGUCGGCGUCGUGGACCGCCUUACGUCUUUGACAAUGCCUGCGCUCAUGUGGCACCCAUCUGGCGCACCAGCCGCUUGCCUCGCUCCCAUUCUGCUCGGCUGCCCUGUGUUGCCGUUGGGGACCGUGGCACUCGACUACAACGGGCCCGUUCCGGGCAGCUCUCUGACAAUCAAAGAAGAUCCGCGGCGGUACAUGAACAUCAUCGGUGACGAUCGUUACGACAACUCUGUGUGGCUCACGCAAGGCCUCUUCGGGGUAAAGCCAGGUGCCUCAUGGCCGCGGCCGGGGAAAGCUGGCAACGACGCCGGCACCGCCCUGACAGGGUACGAGGUAGUCGGGGUAAGGUACGACGAGGCCGCCGAGGAGAUGGAGCUGCUUGUGCGGGACGCCGUCACCAACGAAGUGGUGGCAGCAGCCGAUGUGUGACGAUGUGGCGGAACUGAAAUGAGACAGACGAAAAAAAUGCCCGAUGCGCAAGGUACCACCAACGCGUUUCACCUCUCGCCUUGUUCCAUUGAGCCGUUGCAGGUCCGUGAUCAAGUCGGCGCACACUUACCGCGGCGCACUAGACGCGGUUUUUUUUUGUUGAUCACAGAAGGGAAGCACACGCACACGACACCCCUGGGAGGCCGGGUCGCUCACAGCGUGGAAAGAAGUCACUUCCCUCCUCUUUCUUCGUUCUCUUGCCCUUUCGGCGUCCGCAUCUCGGUCGGGAACGUCUAUCGGCACGUGCUCUCU
rnacentral:misc_RNA from 1 species